UGCGCGGCUCCCUCAGCGACCCUUGCACGAGCCCGCUCUAGGCCUAUUUGGAGAAAUCAGAGCGCAUCACUCACCUCUGACACUGCUCACUUCAGCCGCUGUGUCAGAGACCCGCUUUAUUCGACGGGACAAAAUGACAACAACGCAGAGCGAAGCCUAGGGCAAAUUAACUGGCGGUUGGGGUCAUCGAUGAAAUGCUGAAAUAUGCAGAGGAUCAGGCGUGUCAGAUGCGUAAACCAUGAACGACCCCUUAAAAAGGGACACACUUGGACAACGCAGCAUGCAGCAACAAUUGUUACGGCCCCGGCUAUUUCUCAUUUCAUUUGUCCUUAAAUAUUUAAA